UUUUCUCUAUUCGUAAAAUAUAUUUUGCCUUCUAAGUAUUAGUUUGUUUCAUAUUUUACAAUGGGCGUUUGAAGUAUGAUUUUCAUUGAACGUGCUUGUUCAAGGAAAGAAAUAAUCGAGCAAUUUUAUUGUAAUACAGCAUGAUGCAGCACUCCACAUUAAUAUGCUUGAUCCAUUAGAAGCUAGAAAACAGUUUACUUGUGGAUGAACACUCAACGACACGACGGGAUGUUUCGUUGGUUUAAAUCCUGAAAGUUUUGCAACGACUUUUUGAGAAACUAGAUCCCAUAUCCAUAAUUUUCCAUCUGCCGAUCCGGAGAGAAUCAUUAACAGGACCUGCAUGACCUCUUAAACGACGAACUGGAGUUCCAGUUGCCACAUCCCAAAGAAUGACUGACUUAUCUAAUCCGCAAGACACAAGUUGACUACUAUCACAGGAUGCACAAGCAUCCAUUACUUCGUC